rnacentral:rRNA from 1 species
GAUGAACGCUAGCUACAGGCUUAACACAUGCAAGUCGAGGGGAAACGACAUCGAAAGCUUGCUUUUGAUGGGCGUCGACCGGCGCACGGGUGAGUAACGCGUAUCCAACCUGCCCAUCACUUGGGAAUAACCUUGCGAAAGUAAGACUAAUACCCAAUGACAUCCCACGAAGACAUCUGAAUGGGAUUAAAGAUUUAUCGGUGAUGGAUGGGGAUGCGUCUGAUUAGCUUGUUGGCGGGGUAACGGCCCACCAAGGCAACGAUCAGUAGGGGUUCUGAGAGGAAGGUCCCCCACAUUGGAACUGAGACACGGUCCAAACUCCUACGGGAGGCAGCAGUGAGGAAUAUUGAUCAAUGGGCGAGAGCCUGAACCAGCCAAGUAGCGUGCAGGAUGACGGCCCUAUGGGUUGUAAACUGCUUUUAUAAGGGAAUAAAGUGGGUCUCGUGAGACUUUUUGCAUGUACCUUAUGAAUAAGGGCCGGCUAAGUCCGUG